rnacentral:rRNA from 1 species
CCUACGGGUGGCUGCAGUGGGGAAUAUUGCACAAUGGGCGCAAGCCUGAUGCAGCCAUGCCGCGUGUGUGAAGAAGGCCUUCGGGUUGUAAAGCACUUUCAGCGGGGAGGAAGGCGUUAAGGUUAAUAACCUUGUCGAUUGACGUUACCCGCAGAAGAAGCACCGGCUAACUCCGUGCCAGCAGCCGCGGUAAUACGGAGGGUGCAAGCGUUAAUCGGAAUUACUGGGCGUAAAGCGCACGCAGGCGGUCUGUCAAGUCGGAUGUGAAAUCCCCGGGCUCAACCUGGGAACUGCAUUCGAAACUGGCAGGCUAGAGUCUUGUAGAGGGGGGUAGAAUUCCAGGUGUAGCGGUGAAAUGCGUAGAGAUCUGGAGGAAUACCGGUGGCGAAGGCGGUCCCCUGGACAAAGACUGACGCUCAGGUGCGAAAGCGUGGGGAGCAAACAGGAUUAGAUACCCGUGUAGUC